rnacentral:rRNA from 1 species
UACGUAGGGACCAAGCGUUGUUCGGAUUUACUGGGCGUAAAGGGCGCGUAGGCGGUGCGGUAAGUCACUUGUGAAAUCUCUGAGCUUAACUCAGAACGGCCAAGUGAUACUGCAGUACUAGAGUGCGGAAGGGGCAAUCGGAAUUCUUGGUGUAGAGGUGAAAUUCGUAGAUAUUGGGAAGAACACCGGUGGCGAAGGCGGCGACCUGGUCCGAUACUGACGCUGAGGCGCGAAAGCGUGGGGAGCAAACAGG